GAUGAAGACCGAAUCCAAGUAAGGUAAUACCAAUACAAAGGCAAACAAUACGUAACUUCUUCAAGUAAUCUUUAGAAUAUUGCCAAUAUCUCUGUCAACACUUAUGAGUUAAAAGAGUGACGAAAUCACAAACAUAUGAAGUAGUCGUAGUUUGCACCAUUUCAUAUGUAGCUUUCCCUCCCACUAAAAUGACGUCAGUUCACAACAAAUCCACCCCCUCGAAUCCUUGUUGUCGAGUAUAAAAUGCUUGUCUUAGUAGUGAAUUUCACAGUUUUUACCAAAGUUGCUGGAAGUUUUCAAAACCGUCUCUAAGAUUUUAGCUCUAAAACAGCCGAUCGAGCAUGAAGUGGACAUUGUUUUUCGUUUGUAUAGCUGUUGCUUUGUGCGGGGUCAAUUCAUUUUCACAGCCACAGUGUCCAGAUAUCUGUGAUCCUGAGCGAUGCCCUCCAUUAGAUCCAAACCCUUGUCCUUGUGGAACAUACAGGGGGAUGUGCGGUUGCUGUGAAUUCUGUA